rnacentral:tRNA from 1 species
UCCCUGGUGGUCCAGUGGUUAGGGAUCCAGUAUUGUCAAUGCUGUGGCUCGGGUUCAAUUCCUGCUCAAGAAU